rnacentral:rRNA from 1 species
CGGGGUGAGUAAUGUCUGGGAAACUGCCUGAUGGAGGGGGAUAACUACUGGAAACGGUAGCUAAUACCGCAUAACGUCGCAAGACCAAAGAGGGGGACCUUCGGGCCUCUUGCCAUCGGAUGUGCCCAGAUGGGAUUAGCUAGUAGGUGGGGUAACGGCUCACCUAGGCGACGAUCCCUAGCUGGUCUGAGAGGAUGGCCAGCCACACUGGAACUGAGACACGGUCCAG